rnacentral:tRNA from 1 species
UCCCUGAUGGUUAGUGGUUAAGACGCUGCACUUUCAAUGCAGGGGGCCUGGGUUUGAUCCUUGAUCAGUGAA